AUUCCCAUAUCAAUCUUCUCAGAACUACAGGAGGUGAAAAUUACAAAAUGGCUUCCCGCACCAAUCAAAUUUUCCUUUUGGUACUAUUAUGCAUCGCAUUGCUUUUGAAUUCAGGAGAAGGAGAAGAACAAAUAUGCCAAAAAGGAUCAGACGAAUGCGCACAAGUUGAUCCGUGGGCAUGCCCAGACAGUUGUCGUAAAAAAGGUUUUGAGAAAGGAGGUUCAUGCGAGAUAAUUCAUCUCGAGGAAGUCCAGUGUUGUUGUUUCAAAUGAGCACUUGUAUAUGCUAAACAUGUAUCAAAUUCAAAUAAAACAUUUAUGAACUACAACUUACCUUAAUUUGAAACUGA